rnacentral:rRNA from 1 species
AGAGUUUGAUCCUGGCUCAGGACGAACGCUGGCGGCGUGCUUAACACAUGCAAGUCGAACGGAAAGGUCUCUUCGGAGAUACUCGAGUGGCGAACGGGUGAGUAACACGUGGGUGAUCUGCCCCGCACUUUGGGAUAAGCCUGGGAAACUGGGUCUAAUACCGGAUAGGACCGCGCCAUGCAUGUGGUGUGGUGGAAAGCUAUUUGCGGUGUGGGAUGGGCCCGCGGCCUAUCAGCUUGUUGGUGGGGUGAUGGCCUACCAAGGCGACGACGGGUAGCCGGCCUGAGAGGGUGUCCGGCCACACUGGGACUGAGAUACGGCCCAGACUCCUACGGGAGGCAGCAGUGGGGAAUAUUGCACAAUGGGCGCAAGCCUGAUGCAGCGACGCCGCGUGGGGGAUGACGGCCUUCGGGUUG